rnacentral:rRNA from 1 species
UCGAGAAUCUUCGGCAAUGGGCGCAAGCCUGACCGAGCGACGCCGCGUGGAGGACGAAGGCCUUCGGGUUGUAAACUCCUGUCGAGGGGAAGGAAGGGCCCGCAAGGGCCUUGACCGCUCCCUGGAGGAAGCACGGGCUAAGUUCGUGCCAGCAGCCGCGGUAAGACGAACCGUGCGAACGUUAUUCGGAAUCACUGGGCUUAAAGCGCGUGUAGGCGGGUCGGAACGUCGGCCGUUGAAAUCCCCCGGCUCAACCGGGGAAGUGGCGCCGAUACGACCGACCUGGAGCGACGUAGGGGGAACUGGAACUUCCGGUGGAGCGGUGAAAUGCGUUGAGAUCGGAAGGAACGCCCGUGGCGAAAGCGAGUUCCUGGACGUCGGCUGACGCUGAGACGCGAAAGCCAGGGGAGCGAACGGG